GACGAACGCUGGCGGCGUGCUUAACACAUGCAAGUCGAACGGAAAGGCCCCUUUGGGGGUACUCGAGUGGCGAACGGGUGAGUAACACGUGAGUAACCUGCCCUUGACUUCGGGAUAACUUCAGGAAACUGGGGCUAAUACCGGAUAGGAAUCCUUGCUGCAUGGUGGGGGUUGGAAAGCUUCGGCGGUUUUGGAUGGACUCGCGGCGUAUCAGCUUGUUGGUGGGGUAGUGGCUUACCAAGGCUUUGACGGGUAGCCGGCCUGAGAGGGCGACCGGCCACAUUGGGACUGAGAUACGGCCCAGACUCCUACGGGAGGCAGCAGUGGGGAAUAUUGCACAAUGGGCGGAAGCCUGAUGCAGCAACGCCGCGUGCGGGAUGACGGCCUUCGGGUUGUAAACCGCUUUCAGCAGGGGCGAAGCUUGUGGUGACGGUACCUGUAGAAGAAGCACCGGCUAACUACGUG
rnacentral:rRNA from 1 species